rnacentral:tRNA from 1 species
CGGAUCGCGGGCGGGGGAGUGUGACCGCCGGCUGUCAUCAGGCGCACGGGGUCGGCCAGGAUGUCGAUCCCGGCGAUCCUUCCGUCGCGCACCGC